rnacentral:rRNA from 1 species
UACGUAGGGUGCAAGCGUUGUCCGGAAUUAUUGGGCGUAAAGAGCGUGUAGGCGGCCCGACCAGUCCGCUGUGAAAGUCCAGGGCUCAACCCUGGAAUGCCGGUGGAUACUGUCGGGCUAGAGUCCGGAAUGGGCGAGUGGAAUUCCUGGUGUAGCGGUGAAAUGCGCAGAUAUCAGGAGGAACACCGGUGGCGAAGGCGGGUCUCUGGGCCGAUACUGACGCUGAGGAGCGAAAGCAUGGGUAGCGAACAGG